rnacentral:rRNA from 1 species
CAUAUUGUGAGCUCGAUGAGUAGGGCGGGACACGUGGUAUCCUGUCUGAAUAUGGGGGGACCAUCCUCCAAGGCUAAAUACUCCUGACUGACCGAUAGUGAACCAGUACCGUGAGGGAAAGGCGAAAAGAACCCCGGCGAGGGGAGUGAAAAAGAACCUGAAACCGUGUACGUACAAGCAGUGGGAGCACGCUUAGGCGUGUGACUGCGUACCUUUUGUAUAAUGGGUCAGCGACUUAUAUUCUGUAGCAAGGUUAACCGAAUAGGGGAGCCGAAGGGAAACCGAGUCUUAACUGGGCGUUAAGUUGCAGGGUAUAGACCCGAAACCCGGUGAUCUAGCCAUGGGCAGGUUGAAGGUUGGGUAACACUAACUGGAGGACCGAACCGACUAAUGUUGAAAAAUUAGCGGAUGACUUGUGGCUGGGGGUGAAAGGCCAAUCAAACCGGGAGAUAGCUGGUUCUCCCCGAAAGCUAUUUAGGUAGCGCCUCGUGAAUUCAUCUCCGGGGGUAGAGCACUGUUUCGGCAAGGGGGUCAUCCCGACUUACCAACCCGAUGCAAACUGCGAAUACCGGAGAAUGUUAUCACGGGAGACACACGGCGGGUGCUAACGUCCGUCGUGAAGAGGGAAACAACCCAGACCGCCAGCUAAGGUCCCAAAGUCAUGGUUAAGUGGGAAACGAUGUGGGAAGGCCCAGACAGCCAGGAUGUUGGCUUAGAAGCAGCCAUCAUUUAAAGAAAGCGUAAUAGCUCACUGGUCGAGUCGGCCUGCGCGGAAGAUGUAACGGGGCUAAACCAUGCACCGAAGCUGCGGCAGCGACGCUGAUGCGUUGUUGGGUAGGGGAGCGUUCUGUAAGCCUGUGAAGGUGUGCUGUGAGGUAUGCUGGAGGUAUCAGAAGUGCGAAUGCUGACAUAAGUAACGAUAAAGCGGGUGAAAAGCCCGCUCGCCGGAAGACCAAGGGUUCCUGUCCAACGUUAAUCGGGGCAGGGUGAGUCGACCCCUAAGGCGAGGCCGAAAGGCGUAGUCGAUGGGAAACAGGUUAAUAUUCCUGUACUUGGUGUUACUGCGAAGGGGGGACGGAGAAGGCUAUGUUGGCCGGGCGACGGUUGUCCCGGUUUAAGCGUGUAGGCUGGUUUUCCAGGCAAAUCCGGAAAACUAAGGCUGAGGCGUGAUGACGAGGCACUACGGUGCUGAAGCAACAAAUGCCCUGCUUCCAGGAAAAGCCUCUAAGCAUCAGGUAACAUCAAAUCGUACCCCAAACCGACACAGGUGGUCAGGUAGAGAAUACCAAGGCGCUUGAGAGAACUCGGGUGAAGGAACUAGGCAAAAUGGUGCCGUAACUUCGGGAGAAGGCACGCUGAUAUGUAGGUGAAGUCCCUCGCGGAUGGAGCUGAAAUCAGUCGAAGAUACCAGCUGGCUGCAACUGUUUAUUAAAAACACAGCACUGUGCAAACACGAAAGUGGACGUAUACGGUGUGACGCCUGCCCGGUGCCGGAAGGUUAAUUGAUGGGGU